rnacentral:lncRNA from 1 species
GGAUCAUUAUAUAGAAGUAACAAAUUUCACUGAAAUUUAAAAAUGUGCUUCUCAUAAGAUAAACUAAUUUUAUGAAAGAUGCUGUCCCUAAACUUAAUACCAAGAGUAUGUGUGUAUGUAUGUGUGUGUGUUUCAGGAACUUAGAAAUCACCUGUGUGUAUUACAAACUUGACCUUAGUUAUAUUUGCUUCACAUUAUGUACAAGUUAGUUUCAUUUCUGGUCAGGUGAAGUGUUUUUUACAUGCCCAAAAAUAAAAUACCACUAUUUCUAUUAAAAGUAACUGCUCUUCCUGGUAUCAUGAUGGAAUGGGCAGAGGGUUAAAACAUUAGGCACGAGACUUGGACCUUAAUGUCACCACUGACCCUGACUACUGUAAAAGUAGAGAUUUUGAACCCUAGACUUCAAUCCCCAGAAGUCCUUAGUAUUUCCCAGAAUUCCCUAUAAUCUUUCUUGUCUGAUCACGUGAUAGGUAUUUAACUAGCGGUAACGCCUCCCACACGCUCUUCCUUUGCAAUGAGGCAGCAAGUAUAGUGGUAAGCUAAGUGUGGGGAUUUUUAAAUGGGCUAAUCAGCCAUGGGCAUGUGGGAGGCAUUAUUGCCAGUUAAAUACCAAUCACAUGAUCUCGCCAACAUGGAGAUAGGAGAGAUUAUAGGGAAUUCUGGGAAAUACCAAGGACUUAUGGGGAUUGAAGUCUAGGGUUCAAAAUCUAUUUUUACACUAUUUGUGUGACUUUAAGGAAAUCUCUACUAUCUGGACCAUGAUUUCAUCAUCAAAGAUGUUCAAUAUUGUCGAAGCCAAAUAAAUUCUGCUGCAGUACCUUGCCUUUACUUUGUGUGUGUCUCCCUGCCUCAAAAGUGAUUCUUGUAAACAAUGUAUAGUUGGAUUCUGGUUUUUAAUCCCCUCUGCUAUUUGCUUCUGUUUUAUGGGUCAUGCCCUGCCUUAAGUUACUUCAGGCCUCACAAUUGCUUUAGGUGCUUUGGGAAUCCAUCUUCAAGAGGGAAGAGAGGAACUCAUUGCCAGAAAUUGCUUCCAAGUUUGCAUUUGUUUAUUGGAUCUCACUAUCAAGAUGACAAGGUUACAAGGUAAAAAAUGACACAUUUCACCUUCUGGUCUUUUUGUUCCAUGUGCACUUGAAAUAUAUAAUAUCCAGAUAUUAUAUAUUUGUCAGAGAAAGAAAAGGAAAAGCACCUGGUUUUUUUGUUUCAUAGCAUUUAUCACCACAGCCAAGAAUGUUAAGCUAACAAGUCACAUUUAAUGAAUGGUAAAGACUUCUUGAAUUUGAAUUAAUUCCCCCUGCAGCUUCCAAUGAGAUCAGCUUAUGAACUACAAAUCUGAAGGUAUAUCAUGAUGAUAAAAUCAAGACUUCUGAAAAUGAAUCUGUAUUCUAUAUACUGAUUUCAUUCCCCUAAUGUAUAAGAAAUCUAUUAUCUUAUUAAAUUCCUUUUUCAGUAUCUCUAUGGUGCACAUGUAUGUAAUCACAAAAUUCCUUUUUCAGUGACUAUUGUAUAUAUGUAUACAUGAACAUAUAUCUAUAUUAUAUA